AUAAUACUCCCUUCAUCCAGAAUUACUUGUCAUCAAAAUGGAUGAAUAUGGAUGUAUCUAGACUAAAAAACAUCUAGAUACAUCCAUUUCAAUGACAAGUAUUUUCGGACGGAGGGAGUACUAG
rfam:Triticum aestivum genome assembly, contig: Triticum_aestivum_CS42_TGACv1_scaffold_193741_3AL